rnacentral:lncRNA from 1 species
UGUAACACCCAAAAAUGUACAACUUUUUAAAUAGGAGAAAAAUGAUUUAAUUUUGUAUUUUGUCCUCAUGAAAAUAUAGGAAAAAUAAUAUUUUUAGUCAAUUAAAAUCAAUCAUAGGGUGUUGCAACAUUUUUGUGCACUCAUGCUUAUGCAUUUUAUUUAUUGUGCUGACUGGUUUUAUUAACCUUCAAAAAUAAUUCAAAGUGAUUUUAAAAUGAAUUUGAAAAUGGCUUUGAAAUAAAGAAAAGAAAAGGAAAAAAAAUAGGAAACCCUCACCACUCCCUGGAAAAUCGGCCUGGAGGCCUGCUCCUUCUUUUCCCGCGGCCCAGCUUGCUUCGGCCCAACAGCCCAGCCGCGCGCCUUUCCCUCCCUUUCUCUCUCUGUUCGCUGACAUCCCGGGCCCGCGUGUCAGCGCUUCCAUCCCCUUCCUCGCGCGUCACAGAGCCGGACUCGGUGGAAAUCACCGAUGCAAUCCCGGUUUCCACGGGAUCUUCCCCUUCAACGUGGAAUCGAAUCCUAUAAAGGCCACCGGUCACCCCACCGCACCUCGUUUUUCCACCCGAGCCGCAAAAACCAAGCCCUAGCAGUCUUCUCCUCUUGUUUUGGAUCUCGCCGACGUUGGGCUCCGCCGCGGCGAGCGUCCGGCCAUCUGUGCUCCACCCCGGUCCACGCAAAACGCGUUGGUAAGUGCGCAAGGAGUUUCUCUGCGUUUUGGUGUGCUCGGCUUCGUCCCGAGUGCUCGGCAGCGGGGUUUUCCCGAGCUCCGGCGAGGCCAACCAUGGCGCCGCCGUGUCGGGGGCCAUCUCCGGCUGGCCGGCCGCCGCUAGCGCCCCUGGAGCGCUGGGAGCCGUUAGAUCGAGAUCCAGCGGCCAGAAAUAGAAGGUAACGGUUCGGUGUGAAUCUUGCUAAAGAGUCCCUGGCAGUUUUAAAUAUAGAACCCGCAGUCCAAGGCACGUUUUAAGAAAUACGCUUUCUCUUUAUGAAAACGUAAAGUGUGCCGGGUUAAUUCAAAAUACGUUUUCUGAUAAUUGCAAGUUUGCCACUGAAACUGUUUUAGCCAUAAAAAGUUCAUUUUAACUCCGUUUCGACCCAUUCAAAUUGCGUUAGGUUCAUAAUCAUGAUCUCUACAUGUUAGUAAAAUUAUUUACUCAGUUUGGAACUUUCUAAUUUCGUGAUCCUAUUUAAUUAAUUAUUUAUCUAUAGGAAAUCUUAGAAAAUUCAUAUCUUCUCUGUUUCAACUCCGAUUUUCGUGAUCUUUACGUCUGUGAGAUCGUAGUGAUGCGUAGAAUCUUUUUAUAAACUUUUAAUACUGUUUUUAUAUGUUUGGUGUACUGUUCUAAUUAUAGCCUUGUUUGCUUCGUGUAUGUUUUCUUCGAUUGUUUGUGUGAUCGAUGAUCGAGAUUAGACAAUAAGCAAUUCGUGGUGAACAAGAGUGCUACAGUUAUCAAGAUCAAAGCCUUGGCAACAAGUAAGACCAGCAGAGCUAGCAAGAUCAACAAGAGCAUUUGGAUUAAGGCAAGUAUAGCAUUUGGAUUUUAUUUCUGUGACCAUGAUCCUGUGACUAGAUUAAUGUUAAGUAAUAAAUGAUAAAAAUGACUUUUUAGCCACUUGAUGAUUUAUCUGUACGUGAUCACCCGGGACAACAGUGCAACCAUGAGGGCUAUAAUGGCACUGGCUUUAGCUUAGUAUGAAGACCUUUUCUAGCUUGUUAGAGGUUACCCGAAAGGGCGGAGGGGCUGAACCGUUUUGGGUAUAGUGCGAGCCCCUGUCCUUAUGUGUAUAGGCUGCGCGUCAUUGUGCCAUUUGGAAGGGGGUAUCUAUAUCUGCGCGCAAAGGAAACCUUGCGGCCCUAACAUGUUAGACGAACUUUUGAAAGGCUUCAUAGUGAUCUCUGCCGACCUUCCUUGGAAGUGGGUUAAGAGGCUGAUCACCUCGGACGAAAGGGUAAAUCAUGACUCAUGGGUAAAGAUGUACAACCUCUGCAGAGUGUUAGAACUAGUAUACUAGCCGAGCUCACGGUCAGGAGCGGCCUUGGGGACAUCUACAUUAAGGGUGAUGACUCUUGUGUGUUAAAUAUGAUCAUUGUUUAUUGUUUAAUGCUCUACAUUAUUUAUGUCAUAUUGAUCAUGAGAUUGUGGGAUCUAUACAAUCUAGUUGCUAUACUUGUGGAGUUCGACAUGGACUCACUCUUGCUAUUUCCCCCAAACCUCAGGAGAAGUUUAGGCUUGUGAUCAACCAGUCAGUUGGAUCCUGUAGAGUGGAGUUAAUACCCGAAGUUGGAGUUAUCUUCCGUUGUUUGCUGCUUAAGGUUAUCUCUAAUUUAUUAAGUACGCUAUAUAAUUUAUGCAUUGUCUUUUGAUAUGACCCCUUAUUUGUAGCUAUAUGUGAGAUUUGCCUUUUAAAACUCGCAUAUGGUGCCUAUCUGGUUUUGUCAUUAAAAUCGGGUAUUACAAAGUGGUAUCGGAGCAAUGCUGACUGUAGGACGCAAGCCUAGUUAGAAAUUGGUCGUCUUAAGGUUUUGGAAUUGUCAUAAAAUCCUUGCUCUAUAAACCUUGGUAUUUUCAUCCAUACUAUAUCCCUACCCUUGCUAUUGCUCUCUACCUUGUCACUUAUUUUAAAAGUGCUGGCUCUCACCAUCACUUCUUGAUUUGGUAUGCUAUUAGAACAUUUUCUUACCUCCUUCUUACGUCUUUGAAAUAUAAGUUUUAGGAUCUUUACCCUUACUAUGAAGAGAACGAUAGUAUCGCAAGUUGAGUGAAGUGUGAACCUUCAAUGCUUAAUUGGUUGUUAUUAUGCUUAUGUUUGAUUUGGAUCUUUGUAAUGAGUGCAAUGAUUUUAUGGAAAUUCCCCACAAUAUCAUUUAGUUUAUAGGCCUAAGGCAUAAGGAGUAAUGACAUAAGUAGUUGGGUUUGGUUAUAUCCUGUUUCCCUUUAUUGCUGUUUUCUGGAGCGGUCUGCCAUAAUUCUGGUGUAUCUCAAGUUCUGAUCAUGCAAUGUUUAUCACAUUUUUCUGGGAACAACUAGACUUCAAGUUCUUUCUCUGACCUCAAGAAUCACCCUCAUAGCUGUUAUGGUUUGUAAGUUACAAAAAUCACAAGAUGAUACAUAUGUUCUAUCAGGAAUCUGGGCCAGUUUUGCUUGCCUACUAUUUGAGACCAAUAUAACUAUAGAAUUUGGAAAAGUGUUCUAUAGCGAAGUUGUAGACAAUUUUCUAAGCUUUCCAACAGUAUAAGCUGGAACUUAUUUGGAUAAGUAGAACCUGAGAUAUGAUAUUUACAAUUGGAUGUUUCUGUUCUGUUUCAAAAUCUGGACAGAUCUGGCAUUUCCUAUUUUCAGCCAAGUUAAAGACAUAAUCUGGGGAAAAGUUGUAUACGAAAGUUGUAGAGGAUUUUCUAAGCCUUUCAAAUAUGUAAGGAUCAUCUCAAGAUGAGUUAAGUAGCUCGAGAUAUAACUUCUGGAAGCUACUGCACCUUUGCUGAGACAUUUUCAGGAUGGAUAUUACGUUUGGCUGUUUUACCUAAGUUUAAAGACAGAACCUAAGGAGGUUUUCUACAUGAAAGUUGCUGGGUAUUUCAUACGUUUUCUAACGGUAUAAGCCACAAGUCUAUUGGAUUCACAGUAUAAGAGUUAUAUGUGUUUUACUACGCUGGUGUUUUCAUAUCACGAGAAAAUUUCAGGAUACCUGUUUAUUCUCUUGCACAUAAGAUCUUUGGGAUGUCAGUGGUUCUCAAUGUUAGUUAACUAGUCUGGAAAACAUGCAAGCUACCUUUCUUGGUCCCCUAGUUGACUUAUCUUAAGGGGGGUAGCCCAAUUAAAGAACUACAAUGGGAAGAAGUGGUUAAUGACUGGAACAUCGAUAAGGACAUCAAGUGCUGGGUUUGUUCAAAAUAUCAUCCCAUUUAGAGAAUACUAAUGGAGAUAUAUGUCAUUGCUGAUACUCAUGGAUUGAGAGUUAUGUUAUGAGGAUCAGAUGACACCAAAGUUUACAAGGCUACAAAGUUACAUAUACAAUAUGAGAGUGAAACAACUUAAUUGCGAUAAAGGUACCAAUAUAUGGAACUUAGAGUUGAAACCAACCUUGGAUUAAGAGACUUGGUACAAGGAAUUUAAAAGAAUAUGAUGUGUAGCGUCCAAAAAGGAUAGGAGAGCUAAUUUCUAGUGCUCCCCAAUCAAUCUCAUCUUAAGGGGGGUAGCCUAGAUAAGAAGGUUGCUAAAUGAAGGUUUCAUGCGUUCUAGUGCUUCAGUUGGAAGUAUCUUUUAUGCCUCUGGAUGAGAAGUCAAUAUCAAGUGUAGGUAUCCUUGUCCUUGUUCAAGAUUGCUUACCUUUUGGAUCAAGGAGUUUAGUUAAUCAUCAGGAUUGAUAUUUGCUCUAAGUUAUUAUUAAUCGGGAGUCCAAUCUUCACCGCACCAAAGACAAGUUGGCAUUAAAGACAUAGAUAGGAAGGAGAUAUUGGACAUCUAUAGUCUGUUGUACAGAGACUCAGACAACCUCGACAUCCCGCCAAGCAUGACUAGCAAGUUUCGAGUGAAGAAAGUUAAAUCCGUGGAAUUCACCCAAGGACAUAAUAUGGCAUUUAUAGGGAUUGUAAGAGUGACAUCUACAUGGACCACAAGAAUCUAAACGGAUGGUUAAGGAACAUAUACACUAGGAUGAGCUAUGAAUAAAAAAAACCUUAUCUAUACAAAGUACACUGUUGAACUCUUAGAAACAAUUGAUGGCGAUGUUCAGAGUGACGAAAGCAAUGGAAUGGCUACUAAGGAGCUACUAAAGGAAGGGUAUAAAGUUCAAAAGCGGAGUAUCCACAUCUCUUUGAUCAACAUCUUUCGAAUCUCGAGGACGAGAUUCAUUUUAAGGGGGUAGAUUUGUAACACCCAAAAAUGUACAACUUUUUAAAUAGGAGAAAAAUGAUUUAAUUUUGUAUUUUGUGCUCAUGAAAAUAUAGGAAAAAUAAUAUUUUUAGUCAAUUAAAAUCAAUCAUAGGGUGUAGCAACAUUUUUGUGCACUCAUGCUUAUGCAUUUUAUUUAUUGUGCUGACUGGUUUUAUUAAACUUCAAAAAUAAUUCAAAGUGAUUUUAAAAUGAAUUUGAAAAUGGCUUUGAAAUAAAGAAAAGAAAAGGAAAAAAAAUAGGAAACCCUCACCUCUCCCUGGGAAAUCGGCCUGGAGGCCUGCUCCAUCUUUUCCCGCGGCCCAGCUUGCUUCGGCCCAACAGCCCAGCCGCGUGCCUUUCCCUCCCUUUCUCUCUCUGUUCGCUGACAUCCCGGGCCCGCGUGUCAGCGCUUCCAUCCCCUUCCUCGCGCGUCACAGAGCCGGACUCGGUGGAAAUCACCGAUGCAAUCCCGGUUUCCACGGGAUCUUCCCCUUCAACGUGGAAUCAAAUCCUAUAAAGGCCACCGGUCACCCCACCGCACCUCGUUUUUCCACCCGAGCCGCAAAAACCAAGCCCUAGCAGUCUUCUCCUCUUGUUUUGGAUCUCGCCGACGUUGGGCUCCGCCGCGGCGAGCGUCCGGCCAUCUGUGCUCCACCCCGG